AGGAUUUAGCAGAGAUGCUUUAGUGCCCUCGGGAACUCUGAGACAGGUGCUGCAUGGCUGUCGUCAGCUCGUGUUGUGAAAUGUUGGGUUAAGUCCCGCAACGAGCGCAACCCUUAUCCUUUGUUGCCAGCGAUUCGGUCGGGAACUCAAAGGAGACUGCCAGUGAUAAACUGGAGGAAGGUGGGGAUGACGUCAAGUCAUCAUGGCCCUUACGAGUAGGGCUACACACGUGCUACAAUGGCGUAUACAAAGAGAAGCGACCUCGCGAGAGCAAGCGGACCUCAUAAAGUACGUCGUAGUCCGGAUUGGAGUCUGCAACUCGACUCCAUGAAGUCGGAAUCGCUAGUAAUCGUAGAUCAGAAUGCUACGGUGAAUACGUUCCCGGGCCUUGUACACACCGCCCGUCACACCAUGGGAGUGGGUUGCAAAAGAAGUAGGUAGCUUAACCUUCGGGAGGGCGCUUACCACUUUGUGAUUCAUGACUGGGGUGAAGUCGUAACAAGGUAACCAAGGGCGAAUUCUG
rnacentral:rRNA from 1 species